rnacentral:rRNA from 1 species
GACGAACGCUGGCGGCGUGCCUAACACAUGCAAGUUGAGCGACGAACCAGGGCUUGCCCUGGGGCAAAGCAGCGAACGGGUGAGUAACACGUGGGUAACCUACCCCGAUAACCGGGACAACCCGAGGAAACUCGGGCUAAUACCGGAUGUGCUCACUGGACUUCGGUUCAGUGCGUAAAGGAAGCUUCGGCCUCCGUAUCGGGAGGGGCCCGCGGCCCAUUAGUUUGUUGGUGAGGUAACGGCUCACCAAGACCGCGAUGGGUAGCUGGUCUGAGAGGACGAUCAGCCACACUGGGACUGAGACACGGCCCAGACUCCUACGGGAGGCAGCAGUGGGGAAUCUUGCGCAAUGCGCGAAAGCGUGACGCAGCAACGCCGCGUGGGGGAAGAAGGCCUUCGGGUUGUAAACCCCUUUCAGGAGGGACGAAGGUUCGGCGGUGAAUAGCCGUCCGGACUGACGGUACUUCCACAAGAAGCCCCGGCUAACUACGUG